UUUUGGUGGUAAGCUUAUAAGAAUUUGUUCUACCACCCUUGAUUCAGGAAAGUUCUCCCCCAAUAAUCUCAUUUUAUUCACAAUAUCCGAGAGUUUGGAGGCAUAGUCCCUAACAGACUCAUUUUCCUACAUUCUGAGUAAUGCAAAUUCACUUUUUAACCUCAGUAGCUUGAUCUUCUUGCUUCUGUCUCCUCCAUCAAACUCUUCCUUCAGUUUCUCCCACGCUUCCUUAGGUGAUUCAUAGUUCAUAAUCCUAGAGAAAACCCUGUCCGAAACCGCUGAGAAGAGACAGACAAGUGCUUUUGGUUUCUUGGUCUUCUCUUCCUCAUGUCUUUUAAUCUGGUUCAAUGUAGCAGUUUCUUAUAGUGGGGUUGGUUCG
rnacentral:lncRNA from 1 species